rnacentral:rRNA from 1 species
CAAGUCGAACGAAUGUCAGCUUUGUAGCAAUACCGAGCUGGCGGAAGUGGCGAAAGGGGCAGUAAUGCGUGGGUAACCUACCCUGGGGACCGGGAUAGCCAUUCUAACGAGUGGGUAAUACCGGGCAAUGUAGCUGAGGGGCAUCUCUUGGCUACCAGAUGAAUUUCGCCCUGGGAGGGGCUCACGUCGUAUUAGCUAGUUGGUGGGGUAAUGGCCUACCAAGGCAAAGAUGCGUAGCGGGUGUGAGAGCACGACCCGCGCCACUGGCACUGAGACACUGGCCAGACACCUACGGGUGGCUGCAGUCGAGGAUCUUCGGCAAUGGGCGAAAGCCUGACCGAGCGACGCCGCGUGUGCGAUGAAGGCCUUCGGGUUGUAAAGCACUGUCGAGGGGGAUAAAAGCGCAAGCUUGAUUGAUCCCUGGAGGAAGCACGGGCUAAGUUCGUGCCAGCAGCCGCGGUAAGACGAACCGUGCGAACGUUGUUCGGAUUCACUGGGCUUAAAGGGCGCGUAGGCGGCUUGCCAAGUCCGGGGUGAAAUCUUUCGGCUCAACCGGAAAAGUGCCUUGGAUACUGGCAGGCUCGAGGGAGGUAGGGGCAUGUGGAACUUCUGGUGGAGCGGUGAAAUGCGUUGAUAUCAGAAGGAACGCCGGUGGCGAAAGCGACGUGCUGGACCUCUUCUGACGCUGAGGCGCGAAAGCUAGGGGAGCAAACGGGAUUAGAUACCCCGGUAGUCCUAGCCCUAAACGAUGGGUACUAGAUUGUAGACUUAACAUGGGUUUACAGUCGAAGCAAAAGUGUUAAGUACCCCGCCUGGGGAGUAUGGUCGCAAGGCUGAAACUCAAAGGAAUUGACGGGGGCUCACACAAGCUGUGGAGCAUGUGGCUUAAUUCGAGGCUACCC